GAAAGCAAAUAAGAGCGUAUGGGGAAUGCCUAGGCUCUCAGAGAAGACGAAGGACGUGAUAAGCUGCGAAAAGCUACGAUGAGGUGCAAAUAACCGUUAUUAAUCGUAGAUGUCCGAAUGGGGCAACCCAGCUGGUUGAAGACCAGUUACUCGAAAGAGAUAGAACCCGGGGAACUGAAACAUCUAAGUACCCGGAGGAAAAGAAAUCAACCGAGAUUCCGUAAGUAGCGGCGAGCGAACGCGGAAGAGCCUAAACCAGUCAAUUUAUUGAUUGGUGUUGCGGGACUUUUGAAACAAUUACAAGGAUAGUGUAAUCAGCUGGAAAGCUGAACCAUAGCGGGUGAUAGUCCCUUAUGCGAAAUCUGUAGUAGGCGUUGUAAGUAUCCCAAGUAGGGCCGGACACGUGAAACCCGGUGGGAAUCUGGGGGGACCAUCCUCCAAGGCUAAAUACUACCUAGCGACCGAUAGUGAACCAGUACCGUGAGGGAAAGGCGAAAAGAACCCCUGUUAGGGGAGUGAAAUAGAACCUGAAACCGUGUGCGUACAAGCAGUGGGAGCACAGGCUUUAAGCCGGUGUGACUGCGUACCUUUUGUAUAAUGGGUCAGCGACUUACAUCUCAGUGGCAAGCUUAACCAUUUAGGGGAGGCGUAGCGAAAGCGAGUCUUAAUAGGGCGUCUUAGUCGCUGGGAGUAGACCCGAAACCGGACGAUCUAGCCAUGGCCAGGUUGAAGGUCGGGUAAUACCGACUGGAGGACCGAACCAACUGACGUUGAAAAGUCAGUGGAUGAGCUGUGGCUAGGAGUGAAAGGCUAAUCAAGUCCGGAGAUAGCUGGUUCUCCCCGAAAACUAUUUAGGUAGUGCGUUGAAUAAACAGACUUUUGGAGGUAGAGCACUAAAUGGGCUAGGGGAGAGAAAUCUUUACCAAACCUAAUAAAACUCCGAAUGCCAAAAGUCAUUCCUCAACAGACAGACUGUGGGUGCUAAGGUCCAUGGUCGAGAGGGGAACAGCCCAGAUCACCAGAUAAGGUCCCUAAAUCAUGAUUAAGUGUGAAAGGAUGUGGAGACUCCUUAACAGCCGGGAGGUUGGCUUAGAAGCAGCCAUCCUUUAAAGAUAGCGUAACAGCUCACCGGUCUAAUAGAGUUUCUGCGCCUAAGAUGUAACGGGGCUCAAAUCAUGUACCGAAUCUGUGGGUGUAUAAAGUUUUCGAAUUUUAUACGCGGUAGCGGAACGUUCUGUAAGCCUGUGAAGGGAUACCUGUGAGGGAUCCUGGAGGUAUCAGAAGUGCGAAUGCUGACAUAAGUAACGAUUAACAGAGUGAAAAACUCUGUCGCCGAAAAUCCAAGGGUUCCUACGCAAGGUUAAUCCGCGUAGGGUUAGUCGGCCCCUAAGACGAGGGCGAAAGCCGUAGUCGAUGGGAACUAGGUUAAUAUUCCUAGACCAGAUGGUAGUGACGGAUUUCGUAAGUUGUUAACUCUUAAUGGAUUGAGUUAGCCGCGAAGAAGUUCCAGGAAAUAGCUCCAUCAUUAGACCGUACCCGAAACCGACACAGGUGGAUUAUUAGAGUAUAAUUAGGCGCUUGAGAGAAUGAUGUUGAAGGAACUCGGCAAAAUGCCUCUGUAACUUCGGAAGAAAGAGGACCCAUUUUUAGGCAACUAUAAGUGAGUGGCACAAGCUAGGGAGAAGCGACUGUUUAUCAAAAACACAGGGCUCUGCUAACACGUAAGUGGAUGUAUAGGGUCUGACGCCUGCCCGGUGCCGGAAGGUUAAUGCGAUGGGUGCAAGCUCAUUUCUGAAGCCCCGGUGAACGGCGGCCGUAACUAUAACGGUCCUAAGGUAGCGAAAUUCCUUGUCGGGUAAGUUCCGACCUGCAUGAAUGGCGUAACGAUUUCUCCGCUGUCUCCAACAUCAACUCAGUGAAAUUGAAUUCUCCGUGAAGAUGCGGAGUUCGCGUGGUUAGACGGAAAGACCCCGUGCACCUUUACUGCAACUUUACAUUGGUAUUAGCUGGCGCGCAGA
rnacentral:rRNA from 1 species